rnacentral:misc_RNA from 1 species
CGGAGGAACUACUGUCUUCACGCC